rnacentral:rRNA from 1 species
AUUGAACGCUGGCGGCAGGCCUAACACAUGCAAGUCGAGCGGAUGAAGGGAGCUUGCUCCUGGAUUCAGCGGCGGACGGGUGAGUAAUGCCUAGGAAUCUGCCUGGUAGUGGGGGAUAACGUCCGGAAACGGGCGCUAAUACCGCAUACGUCCUGAGGGAGAAAGUGGGGGAGCUUCGGACCUCACGCUAUCGGAUGAGCCUAGGUCGGAUUAGCUAGUUGGUGGGGUAAAGGCCUACCAAGGCGACGAUCCGUAACUGGUCUGAGAGGAUGAUCAGUCACACUGGAACUGAGACACGGUCCAGACUCCUACGGGAGGCAGCAGUGGGGAAUAUUGGACAAUGGGCGAAAGCCUGAUCCAGCCAUGCCGCGUGUGUGAAGAAGGUCUUCGGAUUGUAAAGCACUUUAAGUUGGGAGGAAGGGCAGUAAGUUAAUACCUUGCUGUUUUGACGUUACCAACAGAAUAAGCACCGGCUAACUUCGUG